rnacentral:tRNA from 1 species
GAGCGCAAAGCUUUAGUGGCGAAGCAUCUCGCUUUUAACGAGAAGAACAGGGUUCGAUUCCCUGUGCGCUUACCA